GGUACCUUUAAUUCAGUCCCGUGAGGCUGACAAGGAUAACGGAUUUGAAAAUAGAGAACAGAUGUGUAGGUGUAACCAUUUGUAUCUAUUUUUCAAAAGCUUCUUGUCGGUCGGGCAGGAAGCUUUUUUAAU
rnacentral:sRNA from 1 species